AAAGUUCGCUGGACGAUCGCUGGCAGCCUUGGCUGCGAGAGGUAACGUCCGGACUCCGUAGAGCGACGUAGCAGGUAACACCUGCCCACCGCGAGGUGAGGAUCAGAGCAACAGAGACGAGUCGACCGUCGUUGGAGACAGCGAGCGUCGGGUGAAACGGGCAAUCUCUACGUGGAGCAACACCAAAUAGGCGGCCGAUGAUCCUGCUCGGUGAGGUCGCGGGUAGGUGGCUUGAGCCGACGGGCGACCGUCGGCCUAGAGGAAUGAUCGUCACGGCGUUCGCGAGGACGCCGCACAGAAUCCGGCGUACAGGCGGACUUUGCUU
rnacentral:RNase_P_RNA from 1 species